rnacentral:rRNA from 1 species
GGACAACCUGCCCUGCGGUGAGGGAUAACUCCGGGAAACUGGAGAUAAUACCUCAUAGUUUACCAUCGCUGGAAUGCCUGGUAAGCGAAAGGUCCGCCGCCACAGGAUGGGUCUGCGGCCGAUUAGGUUGUUGUUGGGGUAACGGCCCAACAAGCCCGUGAUCGGUACGGGUUGUGGGAGCAAGAGCCCGGAGAUGGAUUCUGAGACACGAAUCCAGGCCCUACGGGGCGCAGCAGGCGCGAAAACUUUACAAUGCAGGCAACUGUGAUAAGGGAACCCCGAGUGCCCGUAUGGACGGGCUGUUCAGGUGCUUAAAGACCACCUGGAGAAAGGGCCGGGCAAGACCGGUGCCAGCCGCCGCGGUAAUACCGGCGGCUCGAGUGGUGGCCACUAUUACUGGGCUUAAAGCGUCCGUAGCUUGGUCGUUAAGCCUCUGGGGAAAUCUUCCGGCUCAACCGGAAGGCGUCUCAGGGGAACUGGCGGCCUAGGGAUCGGGAGAGGUGAGAGGUACUCUGGGGGUAGGAGUGAAAUCCUGUAAUCCUCAGGGGACCACCUGUGGCGAAGGCGUCUCACCAGAACGACUCCGACAGUGAGGGACGAAAGCUGGGGGAGCAAACCGGAUUAGAUACCCGGGUAGUCCCAGCCGUAAACGAUGCGCGUUAGGUGUAUCGGUGACCACGAGUUACCGAGGUGCCGAAGGGAAACCGUGAAACGCGCCGCCUGGGAAGUACGGUCGCAAGGCUGAAACUUAA